UACGAAGGGGGCUAGCGUUGCUCGGAAUCACUGGGCGUAAAGGGUGCGUAGGCGGGUCUUUUAAGUCAGGGGUGAAAUCCUGGAGCUCAACUCCAGAACUGCCUUUGAUACUGAGGAUCUUGAGUUCGGGAGAGGUGAGUGGAACUGCGAGUGUAGAGGUGAAAUUCGUAGAUAUUCGCAAGAACACCAGUGGCGAAGGCGGCUGACUGGUCCGGUUCUGACGCUGAGGCGCGAAAGCGUGGGGAGCAAACAGG
rnacentral:rRNA from 1 species